UACGAAGGGGGCGAGCGUUGUUCGGAUUUACUGGGCGUAAAGGGCGCGUAGGCGGCGCGAGAAGUCGAGUGUGAAAGCCCCGGGCUCAACCUGGGAAUUGCGCUCGAUACUCUUGUGCUUGAGUUCGGGAGAGGAGCGUGGAAUUCCCAGUGUAGAGGUGAAAUUCGUAGAUAUUGGGAAGAACACCAAUUGCGAAGGCAGCUGGCUACACAAAUAUUGACACUGAGGCACGAAAGCGUGGGGAUCAAACAGG
rnacentral:rRNA from 1 species